CAUGUAGGCGGUCUGCGAAGUUCGGAGGGACAGUCACCAGCUUAACUGGUGAAGGACUUGGAAAACUGGCGGACUUGAGAGCGAAAGAGGGACAUGGAAUUCCGGGUGGAGCAGUGAAAUGCGUAGAGAUCCGGAGGAACACCAAAGGCGAAGGCAGUGUCCUGGCUCGUUUCUGACGCUGAGGUGCGAAAGCCAGGGGAGCGAACGGGAUUAGAUACCCCGGUAGUCCUGGCCGUAAACGAUGACCACUAGGCGUGGGAGGGAUCGACCCCUUCCGUGCCGCAGUUAACACAGUAAGUGGUCCGCCUGGGGAGUACGGUCGCAAGACUAAA
rnacentral:rRNA from 1 species